rnacentral:rRNA from 1 species
UACGGGGGGAGCAAGCGUUGUUCGGAUUUACUGGGCGUAAAGGGCGCGUAGGCGGCCACCGCAAGUCAAUUGUGAAAUCCCCGAGCUCAACUCGGGAACUGCGUCCGAUACUGGCAGGCUUGAAUCCGGGAGAGGGAUGCGGAAUUCCAGGUGUAGCGGUGAAAUGCGUAGAUAUCGGGAGGAAGGCCGGUGGCGAAGGCGGCGCUCUGGAACAUUUCUGACGCUGAGGCUCGAAAGCGUGGGGAGCAAACAGG